AUCUCUCAAUUUUUCAGAUUCGACCAUUAGAUUUCACUGGGAAUCUAUAUGCGUAUACAUUCUUCAAGAAUGAGCUCCCUAGUUUCAAUUAGUUUUUAUGUGUUAUGAGUAACUCUUCAAAUUACCUUACACAUGUCCGAAGUGCUAAUAAACCCUUAUUGGGUUAGUUCAUGGAAAAUUAAUUGAGAACGGGGAACGAAUUUUUUAAGACGAUUGUAUCCGUAUAUGGAUUGAUUCGUGGGAUGUCAGGAGGUGUCAGAAGGUUGGAGAUACGUCUUCUUCUCAUAAGGGUCUCUGGGAACAAGGGCUGUUAGGUAGGACUUGGGACUCCACUCAUCGAGCCGCGGACUAAAUCAUCUGUACCGCUGAAUCUUCAAAUUUUCAAGGUUUGACAUCAGAUUUACUCCGAUUUUUGUUGAUGACAAAAUCUAGGGGUGAUUUUGGGAACUAUCGACUAUUUACAGGUGCCACUUUUUGACUGGGAAUUGGGGAUCCAAGCUGGGGAGCUGCCACUUUUUAGAUUUUUAGAUCUAUAGCACAAGUAUGCAGUCGUGGAUCCUUAGUUGACUGUUUUCAAACAUCCGGCUUAUGAUGGAACUCAUAUAGAUUUCCAUCCUACAUCGCCAGAGGUUUUAAUAUCACCUAAACUGUGAAAUCCUGCCGGGCUUUUUUUUUUUUGUUUUAUUAAGGUCUCGUCUCCAUAAUUUCUAAAUAUUUCAAUCGUAUUGUUUUAUUGAUAAUUUAAUCUUACUAAAUUUUCCAUAAAGUUGAAAAACAUCAAAUUUUUGUAAACACAAUAUUAAAUUUGGGAAUUCCAUCUGUCAAAACGUAAAUUAUCAACCCAUUAAUUUUAUACUUUAUAAAAAUAAUUUAGAAUGAUACUUUAUAAGGAUAAUUUAAAAUUCAAUCUAUAAAUUUAAUUAAUAUAAAGGAAAUUUGAUCAAUUUGAAAAGUUACUAAACUAUUCAACUAUUGUAAAAAGUAAUCUACUCAUUGAAACUACCAAAAACGGAAUAAUUCAUAAAAUCUAUAUUUUUAAAAUAAUUAUUGUAGAUUCAGGAAUGAAUUUUUUAUCAUACUAUUCCUUGAGUAGGCUCUCAAAAUUCUAUUGGGUUAUUGAGAA